ACGUAGGGACCAAGCGUUGUUCGGAUUUACUGGGCGUAAAGGGCGCGUAGGCGGCCUAGCAAGUCACUUGUGAAAUCUCCGGGCUUAACUCGGAACUGCCAAGUGAAACUGCCAGGCUAGAGUGCAGAAGGGGCAAUCGGAAUUCUUGGUGUAGCGGUGAAAUUCGUAGAUAUUCGCAAGAACACCAGUGGCGAAGGCGGCUUACUGGUCCGGUUCUGACGCUGAGGCGCGAAAGCGUGGGGAGCAAACAGGA
rnacentral:rRNA from 1 species